UCAUCGGUAGUACAGUGGGGUCAGUAUGCUCGCUUGUCACACGAGAGACCGGGGUUCGAACCCCCGCCGGGAG
rnacentral:tRNA from 1 species